rnacentral:tRNA from 1 species
GCCCCCGUGGUGGAACUGGUAGACGCGCCGCACUCAAAAUGCGGUUCCGAAAGGAGUGCCCGUUCGAUUCGGGCCGGGGGCACCA